rnacentral:rRNA from 1 species
UACGUAGGGAGCAAGCGUUGUCCGGAAUCAUUGGGCGUAAAGCGCGCGUAGGCGGCCUCUUAAGUCCGUUGUGAAAGUCAAAGGCUCAACCUUUGAAAGCCGAUGGAUACUGUGAGGCUAGAGUCCGGAAGAGGCGAGUGGAAUUCCUGGUGUAGCGGUGGAAUGCGCAGAUAUCAGGAGGAACACCAAUAGCGAAGGCAGCUCGCUGGGACGGUACUGACGCUAAGGCGCGAAAGCGUGGGGAGCGAACAGG